rnacentral:lncRNA from 1 species
GGGUCAGGAACAUCCAGAACAUCAGAGUUCUUCUUCGAUACAAACCUAAUUUGCAUGUUCCACAAUCAAUCCACAUAAUUUGGAUUGGUCAACAUAUUUUUAUUUAUGGUAUUAUGCAGUGAAAAUAGAAAAGCCAUAAUACAGACUUAAAUCUAUAUAAAUAAAGAAUAAUAACAUAAGUAGACCACUUAUGUUUGACAUGCAUAACUAGAUGAGAUUUUUUAACUAGUUAUGUCUCUCACUAUUUUAUCGGAUACCAUGGCCCUCUCCUAU